rnacentral:rRNA from 1 species
UACGGGGGGGGCAAGCGUUGUUCGGAAUUACUGGGCGUAAAGGGUUCGUAGGUGGCCAACUAAGUCAGACGUGAAAUCCCUCAGCUUAACUGGGGAACUGCGUCUGAUACUGGUUGGCUUGAGUGCAGGAGAGGAAUGCGGAAUUCCAGGUGUAGCGGUGAAAUGCGUAGAUAUCUGGAGGAACACCGGUGGCGAAGGCGGCGUUCUGGACUGCAACUGACACUGAGGAACGAAAGCCAGGGGAGCAAACGGG